CCGAUGGCAGAUUAGGUAGUUGGUGGGAUAAAAGCUUACCAAGCCGACGAUCUGUAGCUGGUCUGAGAGGACGACCAGCCACACUGGGACUGAGACACGGCCCAGACUCCUACGGGAGGCAGCAGUGGGGAAUUUUGGACAAUGGGCGAAAGCCUGAUCCAGCAAUGCCGCGUGCAGGAUGAAGGGCUUCGGGUUGUAAACUGCUUUUGUACGGAACGAAAAGCCUCGGGAUAAUACCCCGGGGUCAUGACGGUACCGUAAGAAUAA
rnacentral:rRNA from 1 species